GUAAUAAUGCAGGGGUGCUUUGUACUAAACAGGUACGGGGCUGAGAAAAUACCCUUAUAACCUGAACAGGAUUAUGCCUGCGUAGGAAGCGAUGAUAAUAAAAGA
rnacentral:ncRNA from 2 species